rnacentral:rRNA from 1 species
UGGGGGAUAUUGCACAAUGGGCGAAAGCCUGAUGCAGCGACGCCGCGUGGGGGAUGAAGGCCUUCGGGUUGUAAACUUCUUUUGCUCUGAACAAGGCGCACCAUGGGGUGUGUUGAGUGUAGGGGUUGAUUAGCGCCGGCUAACUACGUGCCAGCAGCCGCGGUAAUACGUAGGGCGCGAGCGUUGUCCGGAAUUAUUGGGCGUAAAGGGCUUGUAGGUGGCUGGUUGCGUCUGUCGUGAAAGCUCAUGGCUUAUCUGUGGGUUUGCGGUGGGUACGGGCUGGCUUGAGUGCAGUAGGGGAGGCUGGAAUUCCUGGUGUAGCGGUGGAAUGCGCAGAUAUCAGGAGGAAUACCGGUGGCGAAGGCGGGUCUCUGGGCUGUUACUGACACUGAGGAGCGAAAGCAUGGGGAGCGAACAGG